rnacentral:rRNA from 1 species
AUGCAAAGUAAACAAAACAUUGCUUCAAAUGGUCAGGAAGAUGCUCAUAACUCAGUCGCAAUACUGCUAAAGGUGAUCCGGCCAACUUGCUCACCACUUCUUGGCCAAUUUUUUUCAGUUUUGGAAAAUCAGAAGGAUUUGCAUCACCGAAUGCACAUUGUGAAAAGAAAUCCCAGUAGUCUUCAUCUUCUAAGCCAUGGGUUUGAACAGGUUCUCCAAUUGGCUCCUCAAUACAUUCCAUACAUCGUCAAGGACUAUCAAAGCCUUUUUCCCAUUCAGCUUAUCCCGAAGUAUCCUCUGAGCUUGAUCUAA